GAAGUGUUCUGACUUCCUUCUUUUUCAAGUGCAUCUUGUGUGCGUGCUACGUCGCCUCAGUAAUGUCCGACUCUUUGUGACGCUAUGGACUGUAACCCACCUGGCUCCUCUGUCCAUAGGAUUCUCCAGGCAAUAAUACUGGAGUGGGUUGCCAUGCCCUCCUCCAGUG